rnacentral:rRNA from 1 species
UACGUAGGGGGCAAGCGUUGUCCGGAUUUAUUGGGCGUAAAGCGCGUUUAGGCGGCUGGGUAGGUCCGCUGUGAAAACUCGAGGCUCAACCUCGAGAGGUCGGUGGAAACCAUCCAGCUAGAGUCCGGAAGAGGAGAAUGGAAUUCCUGGUGUAGCGGUGAAAUGCGCAGAUAUCAGGAAGAACACCCGUGGCGAAGGCGGUUCUCUGGGACGGUACUGACGCUGAGACGCGAAAGCGUGGGGAGCGAACAGG